rnacentral:ncRNA from 1 species
GGCCUUUUCCGGCAUCCUGUCGGAGGGGGAUUUGAUCAUGGAGGGCUUCUACAUCAACACCAUUACCCUUCCGAUGAAGCAUGAGUUGUUUACCUUAGAACUACGGGUCCACUUGAGUGAGACCGAGGAGAGUGGAAUUUCGUGUGUAGGGGUGAAAUCCGUAGAUCUACGAAGGAAUGCCAAAAGCGAAGGCAGCUCUCUAGGUACCUACUGAUGCUGGGGUGCAAAAGCAUGGGGAGCGAACAGGAUUAGAUACCCUGGUAGUACAUGCCAUAAACGAUGAGUGUUCUCCCUUGGUCUGCGCGGAUCAGGGGCCCAGCUAACACGUGAAACACUCCGCCUGGGGAGUACGGUCGCAAGACCGGAACUCAAAGGAAUUGACGGGGGCCUGCACAAGCGGUGGAGCAUGUGGUUUAAUUUGAUACAACGCGCAAAACCAUACCGACCCUUGACAUAUGAACAACAAAACAUGUCCUUAACAGGAUGGUACUGACUUUCAUACAGGUGCUGCAUGGCUGUCGUCAGCUCAUGUAGUGAGAUGUUUGGUCAAGUCCUAUAACGAGUGAAACCCUCGUUUUGUGUUGCUGAGACAUGCGCCUAAGGAGAAAUUGCCACCGAGUGAUGUGCCAACGCUACUACUUGAUUGUGUGCCAGCACGUAGCUGUGCUUUCAGCAAGAAUUUCAUCAUUGGGAGCCGGUGCCUUUCGAAGCACUUUCACGUGUGAACCAAAGUCGUCUUGCCGAAGACCCACGGAGACCUACCUAUAGUGACAUCAAAGUACCAAUGAGCAUGGAGGUUUGGUUGAAAUUGGUUAUGAUGAUGUCGAGUUGGCGGCGGAGGAAGACUCGGCAUGAAGGCCAGAAAAUGGUGUGGAACAUAGUGGUAAUAGUACGCGCCCCGCUCUAAAACAAAGAAAAAGGUGCUUGCUGCACUCACGAGGGACUGCCAGUGAGAUACUGGAGGAAGGUGGGGAUGACGUCAAGUCCGCAUGGCCCUUCUGGGUUGGGCCACACACAUGCUACAAAUGCAAUGACAAUGGGAAGCAAGGCUGUAAGGCGGAGCAAAUCUGGAAAGAUUGCCUCAGUUUGGAUUGUUCUCUGCAACUCGGGAACAUGAACUUGAAAUCGCUAGUAACCGCGGAUCAGCAUGCCGCGGUGAAUAUGUACCCGGGCCCUGUACACACCGCCCAUCACACCCUAGGAAUUGGUUUCGCCCGAAGCAUCGGACCAAUGAUCACCCAUGACUUCUGUGUACCACUAGUGCCACAAAGGCCUUUGGUGAUCUUAUUGGCGCAUACCAUGGUGCGGUCUUUGACUGGGGUGAAGUCAUAACAAGGUAGCCGUAGGGGAACCUAUGGCUGGAUUGAAUCCUUC